rnacentral:rRNA from 1 species
UACGUAGGUGGCGAGCGUUAUCCGGAAUUAUUGGGCGUAAAGGGUGCGCAGGCGGCGUGUCAAGCAAGCGGUAAAAUAGCGGGGCUCAACCCCGUCGAGCCGUUUGAACUGGCGCGCUUGAGUUCAGGCGAGGUAGGCGGAAUUCGUGGUGUAGCGGUGAAAUGCGUAGAUAUAUGGAAGAACACCAGUGGCGAAGGCGGCCGCCUGGCCUGUUGCUGACGCUGAGGCACGAAAGCGUGGGGAGCAAAUAGG